rnacentral:lncRNA from 1 species
CACAUUUAGCUGGCAAUAAGAGGCUUUGCAUCAAUAUCUUCAUAUAUUCUUUCGCCAUCAUGUUACAUAUGUACAUGAUUUCUCUGCCAAUUGGUUCCUAUUGUUUCACUAGGUUCUCAAAAGUCAUGUUGUUUUGUUCUCCCAAAAUGGCCAGUACAUACUCCGCAUAUAUCAUCCUUAACAUUCUAGCCUGUUUGGAUCUUUUUUUGUUUCUCUAAAAAAGCCACUGUUGAUGUUGAUUCCAUGAACUAGUAGGAUGGGCAGGGAUCUCCAUCCACUUCAUCAAAUAUGCUCAUAAUCGCAUGGCAAAGCUACAUUCAAAAAAGAGAUGGUCUCUUGAUUCUGCAAAAUUACCACACAUCACACCAUGUUGGGUGCACCGCCAUAUCCCAACUGAUUAAACGAUAAACAAUUAGAAGUCUA